rnacentral:rRNA from 1 species
UACAGAGGGGGCAAGCGUUGUUCGGAAUUACUGGGCGUAAAGGGCGCGUAGGCGGCCUUCUAAGUCGAACGUGAAAUCCCCGGGCUCAACCCGGGAACUGCGUCCGAUACUGGAAGGCUUGAAUCCGGGAGAGGGAUGCGGAAUUCCAGGUGUAGCGGUGAAAUGCGUAGAUAUCUGGAGGAACACCGGUGGCGAAGGCGGCGAGUCCUGGACCGGUACUGACGCUGAGGCGCGAAAGCGUGGGGAGC